rnacentral:tRNA from 1 species
GUGUCUGUAGCCUAGUGGUAAAAGGCACUCUAGUAUGUGUCUUGGCUAUCAUGCUGAGGGUGUGGGUUUGAAUCCCACCAGACACA